rnacentral:tRNA from 1 species
GAGGAUGUGGCUCAGUGGUAGAGCGCAUGCCCAGCAUGCAUGAGGCACUGGGUUAGAUCCUCAGCACUACA